rnacentral:tmRNA from 1 species
GGGGGCGAUCCGGUUUCGACCUGGCCCGGACGCCAGAGGCGGCAUGCCGAGGAUGAUGCGUUGGCCUCGUUAAUCAUCGCAUCAAAAGAAAACUGCUAACGAAGAGUUGGCUCUCGCGGCCUGAUGCGCCGCGACGUUCGCCGGCUGACGCCUGCUGGGCCGGACGAACGCGAUAGCAGGCUGGGGCCGGACCCGGGGACGGCGCGGGUCUGCCCGAGAAAACCUCAUGCCGUCAGGGCGGUCGGGUUCGCGUCCGCAGGUGAUCCGAUCGCCGUCAACCGCUGCGGACUAAGCAUGUAGGCGCCGCUGGCUACCGUGUCAGGGACGGGGGUUCGACUCCCCCCGCCUCCACCA